GGAGAGGUGUCCGAGUGGUUUAAGGAGCACGCCUCGAAAGCGUGUGAGGGCGUAAGUCUUCCGCGGGUUCAAAUCCCGCCCUCUCCGCCA
rnacentral:tRNA from 1 species